CCUACGGGAGGCAGCAGUGGGGAAUAUUGCACAAUGGGGGAAACCCUGAUGCAGCGACGCCGCGUGAGUGAAGAAGUAUUUCGGUAUGUAAAGCUCUGUCAGCAGGGAAGAAAAUGACGGUACCUGACCAAGAAGCCCCGGCUAACUACGUGCCAGCAGCCGCGGUAAUACGUAGGGGGCAAGCGUUAUCCGGAUUUACUGGGUGUAAAGGGAGCGUAGACGGCAGGGCAAGUCUGGAGUGAAAGGCGGGGGCUCAACCCCCGGACGGCGCUGGAAACGGCCAGGCUGGAGUGGAGGAGAGGUAAGUGGAAUUCCUAGUGUAGCGGUGAAAUGCGUAGAUACUAGGAGGAA
rnacentral:rRNA from 1 species